UUAACUUUUGAUACGCGUCUCCAGUCUUCGUGCAAGCGCCGAUUUGUACGUGUGCGGCGUAACACGUUCCGUUGCCGAUUAUUAAAUUUAUAUUAGCGCCGGCGAAUUGCUCGUAAAGCGUAAUUUGACUGGUAACCUGAGGUGAAGGCAUUACGGGUAGGUUCACGGUAUAGAGCGAAGAGAAGCCGGUGGUGAGGAAGUAGAAACAGAGAGAUAGAGCGAGAAAGGAGGAGAGAUAGGUGAAAAGCGAGGAGCAGUGAGAAAGGGAAGAAUCGAGCGAGCUGCUACGAGCUGAAGGAAGAACGAAGGAACGAACGUUGUAUUUUCAUGAAAACUAACGAAGCACCGCUGUUAUCAAAGAUGCACUUGUCGGCAUCGUUCGUCCUUAUCACGGUGUGCCUGCUGGUACAUUCGACUGUCGGCAUAACAGAAAUGAUCAACUCUGAUUCCUUCUACUUUCCCGACCAAGCGGACUACAUCAAGCUCGCUACAAAAUGUCCCGAUAACAUGAUACUUUGGCCGUACAACCGUCAAUGUUACAAGGAAGGCGAUGAAGGUCCCUGCAACGUCGGCCGGGUACUGGUGUUCGAUCGUCGGUUACUGAAACCGUACUGCAAGGAUCUCAUAUUUUAAAGAAGCGCGAAUGCAGGAAGGAAUGUGACCAACUAUCGGUGAUUUGUAAUUUAUUACACGUCGGUAAUUUGUCGCACGGUAGGUGACAUAGUAACAAUUGCGAACGUUCAGGGGGAAGUGUAUUCGGGUGAACGCCAUGUUCGGGUUGAAGCUCAAUUCCGCCCGAUGCGGACAAAAAUAUUGGUUUAAGUGAAACGCGUCGAAAUUUCCAUAAUGCAAGUAUAAAUGCUAUUUUUGUUAGCUGCGUAUUCCGUGUAAACAGCUACGUCUCAUGAGAAUAAUAUUGUGGAGCAAUAUAAAGGCAAAUUAGCAUGUUGCAUUUGCGCUAUGGAAAUUUGCUCUAAACAGAAUAUGUAAUUUAUUGAAGACGGAUUGCGAGAUGUGGGGAAACUAAAAUAAAAAAUUAGUCUGAUAAUUAGCGAAAAAUGUUUCAAUGUUUAAAUAAUUAUAGGUUGUUUAAGACAUUUAUUCAAAAUGUUUAACCGUAUACUGCAACAAGCGCGCCUCUAAUUGUAACGUCGUACCCAUCUCGUAUUAGAUUUUUAUCAUAUUCAUCUACACCAAAAUAAUUUUAUUAUUCUUGAUUUGUCACAUUUAUAUUUAUAUUCAUAAUCGAUAUCGUAAAACUCGCUCUGUACGAGCUGUACGCAGUUCCCGAUUAUCUCAUACAAAACUAAUACGCUUAUUAAGUAUGCUCUGAUAGUAACUAAAUGUUUUAUAUUCCAUCCAAUAUUAUUUAUUAAGAUCAUUUUAUUACGAACUCUCAAUUCAGAGAAAUGUAUUAUGAUCGUCAAUUUCUAUCAGCAUACGUUAAUCAAAUAGGUUGACAAUUAUAAAUGGAUACGUUUAAGAUAAGGACUGAUAUCUAUGUGGAAUAAUGCAAAUGUAAGUUUGUAUGUACAUAUAAAACUUUUAAUUUUAUACGAAUAUUUAUAUGCUCACAUUUUGAUAUUCAUCAUAGAGUUGCGAACAGAUUGUAGAAAAAAUGACUUGUACUGACAUCUAUUCAGAUUAAAGACAUCACGAGAGCAAUUCCGUGAUCGGUCGUUCUUGUUAUUUUAUACCCAGUAAAUGAGCAUUUCGAGCCAAAUUAGUUUGCGGUAAUUAGCUACAGAAGAAGCUCUAAAAGCUUACAUUCGAUUUGUCUCAAUUAGUGUAUAUAAUUAUUUUAUCGAUGGUUUAAUGAGUAAGUUAUUUCCAUUACUAUCGUUAAUAACAUGACACAAUAAACGAACGUGUAAGAGUUAAA
rnacentral:lncRNA from 1 species